rnacentral:rRNA from 1 species
UACGUAGGUGGCAAGCGUUGUCCGGAAUUAUUGGGCGUAAAGCGCGCGUAGGCGGCCCUGUAAGUCCGUUGUGAAAGUCAAAGGCUCAACCUUUGAAAGCCGAUGGAUACUGCAGGGCUAGAGUCCGGAAGAGGAGAGUGGAAUUCCUGGUGUAGCGGUGAAAUGCGCAGAUAUCAGGAAGAACACCAAUGGCGAAGGCAGCUCUCUGGGACGGUACUGACGCUGAGACGCGAAAGCGUGGGGAGCGAACAGG